rnacentral:rRNA from 1 species
CCUACGGGUGGCUGCAGUAGGGAAUAUUGCACAAUGAACGAAAGUUUGACGCAGCGAUGCCGCGUGGACGAUGAAGGCCUUCGGGUCGUAAAGCACUUUCGCCAGGGAUGAUAAUGACAGUACCUGGUAAAGAAACCCCGGCUAACUCCGUGCCAGCAGCCGCGGUAAUACGGAGGGGGUUAGCGUUGUUCGGAAUUACUGGGCGUAAAGCGUACGUAGGCGGAUCAGAAAGUAGGGGGUGAAAUCCCAGGGCUCAACCCUGGAACUGCCUCCUAAACUCCUGGUCUUGAGUUCGAGAGAGGUGAGUGGAAUUCCAAGUGUAGAGGUGAAAUUCGUAGAUAUUUGGAGGAACACCAGUGGCGAAGGCGGCUCACUGGCUCGAUACUGACGCUGAGGUACGAAAGUGUGGGGAGCAAACAGGAUUAGAUACCCUGGUAGUC